GCUGAACUUUAUCCUUUAAGUGCAUUUUUUGUAUAAUUGUUUAGGUUUGCAUGCACUUAAUGCUCUGCAUGUAGAGUAGACAUGUCAUGCACUCUGCAGUAGAAAAGUUAAGUAAGUAACUCUGAAUAAAGGGCGUGUUUUAUUUUAUUAGGCCUACGUGCAUAAAGUAGCAGAGUGUGUGCGGCGCAGAGUACUAGAUAACCAUGACAACAACUGCUCCUGUUUAUGGGGUUGCCAGGCAACUAUCAAAAAAACUCUCACUUGGCACAGUUCUGUUUCCGGGUGGAUUGAAAGGCUCUGAUUGCUUUUACAAAGCCAGGUGGAAUCCAACCAGUUUCAUCUCAGGUUUCACUGUUCUACAGGUAAAGGUGAAGGUGUGGGCGAGUGCUGAGGGAACCCACCUGAAGGGAGGUGUUAAGCCCCGCCCCUGGGAGGGCAGGUGUGUGCUGUAUAUUUAUAUAUAUAAAUAUGUAAAGUCGGUGUUGCCAGUGCGGUCCACACUGCUCAGCUUGACAUGUCCCACACUUUUUGCUCUGCUUCUCAGCUUGGUUAGCCGUGUUAGCUUUGUUAGCUUUGCUAGUUUUGUUAGCUUUGUCAGGUUUAGCAGGUUUGUUGGAUUACGCUCUCUGUAAGAAUGAAGCCGUGUCUUUCGGUCUCUCUGGUGCUGAUGAGGUUCCUAUACCAGCACAGCGUAUCAGCAUGUCCAAAUGGAUAUCAUAUCAAUGGGAAUACUAAAUGCUGUCUGUGUCAGAAUGAGUGGUUUUUAGUGAACUGCUCGAUGGCUUCCACACAGUGUUUGCCCUGCACAAAUUGCGAACAACGUGGCCAAAAGACUGUUACACAGUGCACAAAAUUCUCGGACGCCGUGUGUGAGACUGAACCGUCUCCCACACCAGUGACUCUAGCCCAGCCUGAGUGGACUGUGAUCGCUCUGUAUGUCACAGCUUCUGUAGUUCUGCUGCUCAUCAUCUCGGCCACUGCCUGCAAGCUGUACCUGAACCACAAAGCUCCACUGGAUCCUGCAAAAAAACCGCUGAAGACUCCGUCAUUAACAGAGUCCAUGGCAUAGGCAUAGUGUUUUGGAAACUGCCUCAGAAAACUAAACACAUACCAGGCCGAGUCCAGGCACGUCUGAUCCGGGGCUGGUCACCGGUAGUGUUUACCUGCUUUACUGGAAACACCUGAGCAGCUCUUAUCCAGCUCUUAUCUCUUAUCUAGACAGGCACAGUUCUGCGUCAGAACCUUCACUGCAAAAUCAGAUUCAUCAGUUCAACCUAAUAUAAACUGUUCUUAUGGAAACAAACAAAUAACACAAACUAUUUUUAUUUAAAACUUAAAAAAAAAAAGUUUAUUUAAGUUUAUUUUAAAACUCGAAACCCCAAACCAGUUCAGCUGUUUUUAUUGAAUAACUAAAUGUUUUUUUAAUGUAUAACUUACAAAAGAAUAUAUGUUUAUACAAAAAUCAUAUGAUGCAUUACUGAUCUGGUUGGUUCAAAUUGUUGAUUUAAGUGCGUCACUAGAGGAGUACAGUAUGACCCAAUAUGACAAUAUACUGACCCAGAAAUAAUUGUAAAAACAAUAUUAUUGUCAUUUUAAGACCCAUUUUUAUCCCACUAAAAUUAUAAUAAUAUUAUAAUUAAAUUACACCCUUAAUCAUGAUUAACGGAAUUUGGAUUAUUACGAAUAUUUAAAAAAUACACAAAAAGACAUACAAAAUAAAUACACUAAAUUAAUCA
ensembl:lncRNA